AACGAAUGCUGGCGGCAGGCCUAACACAUGCAAGUCGAACGCCCUAGCAAUAGGGAGUGGCAGACGGGUGAGUAACGCGUGGGAACGUGCCCUUCGGUUCGGAAUAACUCAGGGAAACUUGAGCUAAUACCGGAUACGUGCGAGAGCAGAAAGAUUUAUCGCCGAAGGAUCGGCCCGCGUUCGAUUAGCUAGUUGGUGAGGUAAUGGCUCACCAAGGCGACGAUCGAUAGCUGGUCUGAGAGGAUGAUCAGCCACACUGGGACUGAGACACGGCCCAGACUCCUACAGGAGGCAGCAGUGGGGAAUAUUGGACAAUGGGCGCAAGCCUGAUCCAGCCAUGCCGCGUGAGUGAUGAAGGCCCUAGGGUUGUAAAGCUCUUUCGCCAGGGACGAUAAUGACGGUACCUGGAUAAGAAGCCCCGGCUAACUUCUUGCCAGCCGCCGCCGUAA
rnacentral:rRNA from 1 species